CCAAGUACAGAUCCCUGAGGUACCCCACUGGUGACAAGUCCAAGCUUCGAAUAUAUUCCAUUAACUACAACCCUCUGUUGCCUGUCACUCAGCCACUGUCUUACCCAUUCAACAAUAUUGGAAUCCAAACUUAAAGAUUGCAGUUUAUUGAUAAGCCUUCUAUGUGCAACAGUGUCAAAAGCCUUACUGAAAUCUAGGUAAGCAAUGUCUACUGCACCACCCUGAUCUAUAAUUUUAGUUACCCAAUCAAAAAAAUCAAUAAGAUUAGUUUGGCAUGAUCUCCCUGAAGUAAACCCAUGUUGUCUUUGAUCUUGAAAUCCAUGUGUUUUUAGAUGUUCAUCAAUCCUAUCCUUUAACAUGGUUUCCAUCACUUUCCCCACUACUGAAGUAAGGCUUACUGGCCUAUAGUUGCCCGACUCCUCCCUAUUACCUUUCUUGUAAAUGGGCACAACAUUCGC